CUUCCGUCUCCUUCUCCCCACCACAAUCACCACCAGCAGCAACAAUAGAUCUCCACGAACACCAGCAGCAACUUUAUUCUCCUCCGACCACACUACUGCACCUUCGUAUCUCACUACUACCACAACCCUCCUCCGCCUCCUUCAAUUUCUUCACCACCAAGCACCAUUACCACCACCGUAAACAUCACCACCCCAAACUCCUCUCAACGUCACAACAACCAUAAUAAAAACCUUAACCAUAGUUUCAUCUUCAAAUUCAAAAGGAAAUAUAGGUGGAUCUGGUGAUGUUGUGAUGUUUUUGUAAGAUUAGAUGAAGAAAUUGUUGAAAUUAGGGUUGCGAAUGUAACUGUAGUUGAAGAACAAGAAGAAAAGAGAUGGGUUGGUGACGAACUGAUGAUUGAGAUCGAUUUUCAAGGAAGGGAUGAUGAAGUGGUGAUGUUCCUAACAAGGGUCUGAGGAAUUGGAUCCAACAAUUUUUUUCAAUUUCAUGCCCUAAAUUUACUUUAAUCUUGCCUCCUGUCAUUGUCACCACCACCCUCCUUCUUCACCACCACUAAUAACAAGCAACACCGUUACAGACAACUGAAAAUGAAACAGAAAAUUGGUAUGAACUGAAACUGGAUUUGUCAAAAUGGUCUUCACACCAACUUUGGUUUGAUUUCAAUUAAUACUAAUUUCGUUUUCAUAUAGCAUAUGUGUACCUUCAGAUUUUUAAGGAACUGGAUGAAUCUUUAAAGACAUUGGUUAGAACUACUUCACAAUGGGUCAAUUCCAAGCCCUAAUUGAAAAAAUUUCUCAAUUUUUUCUUGCUUUCUAAAUUCUUAUUGUGUAUGUUUUCCUUUGCUAUACUCCAUUUUAGAUGUAGUAGUAUUGGAGAUUUAGUCAAGUUUAAGGUUACAGCAAAAAAAUGAUUCAUUUUUCUGUCUGACAACUGCACCAGCACCUUUGCAACCUGGAUUAACAUUGUGCUUUCCACAAGGAUUUUAAAUUUUGUGGUCAUCAUCCAGAUGAAUAUUUCACUUACAUUGCUACUUCUAUAGCAGUUCUGUUUUAAUUGCAAGUGGAGAUCAUUCUUUUGAUAUCAUCAGCUUGAUCCUGUACGGCAACAUUUCAUGGUCCAUCUUGUUUUUGUUUUCCCAUAGGUUGUUGAGAUUGUGACAUUUUAUCCUCCGAUUGACUACCAUUUAUUUGUAGUGCAGUGGAGACAUUACAAUGUGCACUUUCAUGAAAAAACUAAAAAAGUACAUCCCUUAGGCAUGGAUCUGACUAGCGUCAGGUCGCACAAAGUGGGAUUCUAAUUUAUGAUGUUUGCAUUUGAUAUUUCUAAUCAAGUUGCAUUUUCUCUAGCUCACACACACAAACUCUCCUUAACUUGAACAUGAAUGUCUUCAUGUGAUGUAGAAGGCUUAUUUUUCUUUUUUAGUUCUUAAAUUAUGUGCUUUGUUGUUGUUUCAUGAUAGAGUGAGGACGUUGAGUUGAUAUAGAUAUCAUGGUUAUCACUACUACCUUCAUGUGUGUUCUGUACAGGUGGCAGGCCAAUGAAAAUGGUGUUAUGCUAGAAUCUCUUGGAUAUAAAAAAGGAUUCAGAGUCGAUGUUCCAGAUGCCGCAUGGGUAGAGGCUCCAAGAUUCCAUGAUAUUCUUAUCUUAAAUACCGGCCACUGGCACAACAUGGUUGCUCAAGGUCUAGUACGUGAAGAUAUUUUAGUUAAAUCGAUAUGCCAAGGACGAGGAUAAAGGCAAUAUAGUCUUUUGGAGGUGUAGACCCAAAGCACUAUAAUUAGUGAAAAGGGAUACUGGCAGCUACAUACUUUUGAUAUCAAGAUAACAACAAAAAAGGUAAUAAAUUCUUACACAUUAACCAUUUUCGAUUUAUAUAGGUUGUCGUUUUGUUUAAUAAGUAACUUUUGUAAUUUUUCUUGUAGUUGAAUCGACAUUUUGCACGAAUCCAAUUAUGGUUUCAUAUUAUACGAUGAAACCAAAAUUGGUUUCAUCUAAUUUUUGCUAAUUUUUAUCGACGAACUGUUAUGUUUAUAUUAUGCAGAAGUAUGUUUAUGUUGUGCAGAAGAACCAGGAACAAAAGUGUAAGAACUAAUGGAUUCAACUUGUUAUAAUUUAGCAUACAUCAAAUAUAGUGAUGGGGUACUUAAUAAUACAUAUGUUUCAUUGUUCUAGUUUUUAAUACAAUUACCGUUAUAUUCGCUUAAAUAUCCAUGUUGAUAAUUUGCAGAUUACAUUAUUACAGUGUGAAGUCAUACAACAAGAGCUGAUAUAAUGAGUGGAUAAAUUAGAUUUGAUAAUUGGAAACAGAUUAGGAUUUACAACGCUAGCUGUGAUGGAGAUUAUGUGCUUUGAAUCAAAGAAAUGGUGUUUGUGUUUAGGUUAAGUCUGAAACAAAAAAAUUGAGUUACAAAAUGUUGUUGGUGGGUGCUUUACAAAAUGUUAUGAAACUGAAUUACCUGUGAUAAUGUUUAGGCAGUUGUGUGGUUUGAAUUCUAGCUGUAACUAAUGAUGUUGCUGAGGUUUGAAUGAAGUUUUUAUUUCAUCUAAUAUGUGAUUUUUUUUCUAUAUUUUAUGUCGACGAAACCAAUCUUGUUGGUGCUUCAGAUAAUGGGUCGUGGAGUCAGUUAUGGAGGAGGUCGGCGUUCUUUAGGAUAUCUCUUUGUUGGUCCUGAGGAUUCAAAACCAUGUCAAUAUUGACAUUUCAGCGAUGUCUUUCUAUUAAUGAACAUGUAUAAUACCUCUUAUAAUUUUUCUUGCAGUUGAAUUCUCACGAAACCAAUUA